CAGUCGCCGCGGUAAUACAGAGGGUGCGAGCGUUAAUCGGAAUUACUGGGCGUAAAGCGCGCGUAGGUGGUUUGUUAAGUUGGAUGUGAAAUCCCCGGGCUCAACCUGGGAACUGCAUUCAAAACUGACUGACUAGAGUAUGGUAGAGGGUGGUGGAAUUUCCUGUGUAGCGGUGAAAUGCGUAGAUAUAGGAAGGAACACCAGUGGCGAAGGCGACCACCUGGACUAAUACUGACACUGAGGUGCGAAAGCGUGGGGAGCAAACAGGAUUAGAUACCCGCGUAGUCCCUGUCUCUUAUAC
rnacentral:rRNA from 1 species